rnacentral:tRNA from 1 species
CUAGAGAAGGAGGACUUGAACCUCCACAGAAGAACUCAAAACUCUCCGUACUCCCAACUAUACUACCCCCUA